rnacentral:rRNA from 1 species
CCUACGGNNNNNNNCAGUGGGGAAUCUUGGACAAUGNNNNNNNGCCUGAUCCAGCCAUGCCGCGUGAGUGAUGAAGGCNNUNNNNUCGUAAAGCUCUUUCGCCAGAGAUGAUAAUGACAGUAUCUGGUAAAGAAACCCCGGCUAACUCCGUGCCAGCAGCCGCGGUAAUACGGAGGGGGUUAGCGUUGUUCGGAAUUACUGGGCGUAAAGCGCGCGUAGGCGGACUAGUCAGUCAGGGGUGAAAUCCCGGGGCUCAACCCCGGAACUGCCUUUGAUACUGCUAGUCUAGAGUUCGAGAGAGGUGAGUGGAAUUCCGAGUGUAGAGGUGAAAUUCGUAGAUAUUCGGAGGAACACCAGUGGCGAAGGCGGCUCACUGGCUCGAUACUGACGCUGAGGUGCGAAAGUGUGGGGAGCAAACAGGAUUAGAUACCCUGGUAGUCCACACCGUAAACGAUGAAUGCCAGUCGUCGGGUAGCAUGCUAUUCGGUGACACACCUAACGGAUUAAGCAUUCCGCCUGGGGAGUACGGUCGCAAGAUUAAAACUCAAAGGAAUUGACG